rnacentral:rRNA from 1 species
AGAACGAACGCUGGCGGCGUGGAUAAGACAUGCAAGUCGAGCGCGACUUAUUUUGUUAGCAAUAACAAAGUAAGUUGAGUGGCGAAAGGGUGCGUAACACGUGGGAAUUUACCAAGAAGUGGGGGAAUAGCUCGACGAAAGUCGAAUUAAUACCGCAUACGAUCGCAAGAUCAAAGCCGGGGACCGCAAGGCCUGGCGCUUUUUGAGAAGCCCGCGGCCCAUCAGCUAGUUGGCGGGGUAAAAGCCCACCAAGGCUAUGACGGGUAGCUGGUCUGAGAGGACGACCAGCCACACUGGAACUGAGACACGGUCCAGACACCUACGGGUGGCAGCAGUCGAGAAUUUUUUCACAAUGGACGAAAGUCUGAUGGAGCGACGCCGCGUGGAGGAUGAGGUUCUUGGAUUGUAACUCCUGUCACUGCAGAACAAGGAUACGUUUGUGAAUAGCACGCAUA